UACGUAGGGUGCAAGCGUUAAUCGGAAUUACUGGGCGUAAAGCGUGCGCAGGCGGUUUUGUAAGUCUGACGUGAAAUCCCCGGGCUUAACCUGGGAAUUGCGUUGGAGACUGCAAGGCUGGAGUCUGGCAGAGGGGGGGUAGAAUUCCACGUGUAGCAGUGAAAUGCGUAGAGAUGUGGAGGAACACCGGAUGGCGAAGGCAGCCCCCUGGGUCAAGACUGACGCUCAUGCACGAAAGCGUGGGGAGCAAACAGG
rnacentral:rRNA from 1 species